ACUAAUUUUGUUUUCAUUUACACUUGGACUAAAUCAUAUAAGUGAUGGGUUAUUGUUAUUUUCUUAGAAAGUAAAGAUUAUAGCGUUGUACCUAUUAAUUGGCUUAUUGCUACGCCACUGAGUGAAAUAUCAAUAUUAAAUUUAUCAGAUGUACAAUUUUGUCGUUGGCCUCCCUUUAAGGUUACAAGCGUUGAACUUUUUAAAGCUGAUGAUCCUGGGAAUUUAUGGUCUUCAUUCAAGAUAAAAAUAUUGAAUAAUAAAAUAUAUACAAAUCUCAAAGAAGCAUGGCAUCAACAUGUCGAAAUUUAAAUCUCUGCUACAGAAAAUGAGUGUGAUGCACCAAAAAGAAAAAAUAUUAAAGUAGUUUAUCUGAUGAUAGUGAUUUUGAAGAGUGUAGCUUAGCAGUAACGCCGAUCAUUAAAACACGUAUCAUGAAGUUUCACUGAAUUAUUGACAAGGAAGUUUGAUGAAGAUUUAGAGUAUGAACUACCAUCUAGAACAUCACAUGCUAUACAAAUCGUAGCUAGUUCGUCAGCAUCAUGCAUACCCAAUAACUUAGAUUAUGAACUACUUCCUGUAUCAUCACCUGUUGUACAAAACACUGAUAGUUCCUCAGCAUCAUGCAUACCUUAUAUUGUUGUA